rnacentral:misc_RNA from 1 species
GAGUUGAGUUGAGUUGAGUUUUGAUUAUAUGAUUGGAAAUGUAAUGUGUUUUAAUGAAACUCUAGGUUUCAACUUGCAAAAUUUUUUCCAUGCAUUAUACAAAAUGAAUAUUCUCCUACAUCAGGCGUGACAGAUCUAUACCACUCAGAAAUUCAAAAGUGAAUGCUGCAAGGUUUGCUGCGUUGAGUCGUCGACAUGUUCACGGUUAACCUACCUUCUCGUUAGAUGGUUUUUGUCCCCUUAUGGUUGCUUUUCCAAUUUUGUUUAUUUUUU